UACAGAGGUCCCAAGCGUUGUUCGGAUUCACUGGGCGUAAAGGGUGCGUAGGUGGUGAGGUAAGUCGGAUGUGAAAUCUCCGAGCUCAACUCGGAAAUGGCAUUGGAAACUACCUUGCUGGAGGGUUGGAGGGGGGACUGGAAUGCUUGGUGUAGCAGUGAAAUGCGUAGAUAUCAAGCGGAACACCAGUGGCGAAGGCGAGUCCCUGGACAACACCUGACACUGAGGCACGAAAGCUAGGGGAGCAAACAGG
rnacentral:rRNA from 1 species